GCGGCCGUGGCGGAAUUGGUAGACGCGCUAGCUUGAGGUGCUAGUCCCGGAAACGGGGUGGAGGUUCAAAUCCUCUCGGCCGCACCA
rnacentral:tRNA from 1 species